rnacentral:lncRNA from 11 species
UCCUAGGAGUCUCUCUCUAAGCUCCUCCCCCUUUCUACCACUCUCAAGAUGGCUGCCUGGCAUUCCUCAACAAAAUUGAUGCCUGCCUCACUUCACUGUUACCCAGGCUUCAUUCCAGGCCUAAUAGUGAUCUUGGUUCCAAACUGGAGAAGCACCUGGAUAAAAAUCCAACAACAGCAACCACUUCAGUAACAAUAUUGUCUGCUCAUGAACAUCAGGAA